rnacentral:lncRNA from 1 species
UAUGAAAACUGGCCAGAUCCCCUUCUCAAAACCGACAGGACUUCUCAGUGCCAGCAGAGCUUAUAUCCACGUGAGCUGCACAGAUGGACGAGUUCAGAGCACCUCCUUGAUGCCAACACGCGCAAAGGAAAAGUCACUUUUUACUUUCCCAGCAGAUGCUGCUUUCCUGGGGUGGGGGGACACCUGGCAGGUACCCACUCCUUCCUCUGGCCACAGAACGCCUCUGCCAGCAAUGAGGAGGAAGAGGAGAGAGGGGCCGGCUUCAAGGAGGAUUUGGAGGAGUUCCAGUUCUUGCAAGGCCAGUACCACGCUGAAGAAAAAAGGGAACUCUUGUUGUUUCGUAACUACACUAAUGCUCUUCACAGUGAUCUUCACAAGCUCUCCAAACUUCUUUAUUUACCAAGAUGCUGGAUGGCAGGGAACACAUACAUGCCUGAGGAUUUGCACAUCGCAAGGGCAGAAUUCACAAGGUGAGAAAAACAAGUAUUGUGUAACACACAGUUUUCCAGCACAGCAAAGAUAAGGUUUCCUUCAAUCCUCAAGCUGUUUCCCUCAACCAUUCUGAGGAUCAUCUCCACAGCCUGCUCUGAGUCAUGGGAGAUUCUGGAGGAAGUUAAUUUCCAGCUUUCACCCUGCAUUAAGCCUCCGUGGUUCAUGGUCGUAACAUCUAGUGAGCUCUCCACCAGUUAGCUGAUCCACUGUGUUUCCUCCACCAUGGGGAGGGGGGAAAGAGAUUCCCCCAGGUUGAGCAUCUAACUCAACAACCCUAGUGGGGCACAGCCCAAGAUAAAAACUAGAGGGGGUGCUGAUGGCCAGCCUAGUGAUAGUGUCUGCACUUCUGAAAGUGAUCUUGGUGUUGGAGGGUGUGUUUCCCAGUCAUGUGAGGAAAUGGCAAAUAAAAUAUCUAUUUGCAGAGGUGAAGGGCA